UACGUAGGGGGCAAGCGUUGUCCGGAUUUAUUGGCGUAAAGAGCGUGUAGGCGGCCUGACAGGUCUGCUGUGAAAACUCGAGGCUCAACCUCGAGAUGUCGGCGGAAACCGUCUGGCUAGAGUCCGGAAGAGGAGAGUGGAAUUCCUGGUGUAGCGGUGAAAUGCGCAGAUAUCAGGAAGAACACCUAUGGCGAAGGCAGCUCUCUGGGACGGUACUGACGCUGAGACGCGAAAGCGUGGGGAGCGAACAGG
rnacentral:rRNA from 1 species